rnacentral:rRNA from 1 species
AUUGAACGCUGGCGGCAUGCCUAACACAUGCAAGUCGAACGGCAGCACGGCAGUAGCAAUACUGUGGGUGGCGAGUGGCGGACGGGUGAGGAAUACGUCGGAAUCUGCCCAAUCGUGGGGGAUAACUAACCGAAAGGUUAGCUAAUACCGCAUACGACCGAGAGGUGAAAGCGGGGGACCGCAAGGCCUCGCGCGAUUGGAUGAGCCGACGUCGGAUUAGCUUGUUGGUGGGGUAAAGGCCUACCAAGGCAACGAUCCGUAGCUGGUCUGAGAGGAUGAUCAGCCACACUGGAACUGAGACACGGUCCAGACUCCUACGGGAGGCAGCAGUGGGGAAUAUUGGACAAUGGGCGGAAGCCUGAUCCAGCAAUGCCGCGUGUGUGAAGAAGGCCUCGG